rnacentral:rRNA from 1 species
UUGAACGCUGGCGGCAGGCCUAACACAUGCAAGUCGAACGGUAACAGGAAGCAGCUUGCUGCUUUGCUGACGAGUGGCGGACGGGUGAGUAAUGUCUGGGAAACUGCCUGAUGGAGGGGGAUAACUACUGGAAACGGUGGCUAAUACCGCAUAACGUCGCAAGACCAAAGAGGGGGACCUUCGGGCCUCUUGCCAUCAGAUGUGCCCAGAUGGGAUUAGCUUGUUGGUGAGGUAACGGCUCACCAAGGCGACGAUCCCUAGCUGGUCUGAGAGGAUGACCAGCCACACUGGAACUGAGACACGGUCCAGACUCCUACGGGAGGCAGCAGUGGGGAAUAUUGCACAAUGGGCGCAAGCCUGAUGCAGCCAUGCCGCGUGUAUGAAGAAGGCCUUCGGGUUGUAAAGUACUUUCAGCGGGGAGGAAGGUGUUGUGGUUAAUAACCGCAGCAAUUGACGUUACCCGCAGAAGAAGCACCGGCUAACUCCGUGCCAGCAGCCGCGGUAAUACGGAGGGUGCAAGCGUUAAUCGGAAUUACUGGGCGUAAAGCGCACGCAGGCGGUCUGUCAAGUCGGAUGUGAAAUCCCCGGGCUCAACCUGGGAACUGCAUUCGAAACUGGCAGGCUUGAGUCUUGUAGAGGGGGGUAGAAUUCCAGGUGUAGCGGUGAAAUGCGUAGAGAUCUGGAGGAAUACCGGUGGCGAAGGCGGCCCCCUGGACAAAGACUGACGCUCAGGUGCGAAAGCGUGGGGAGCAAACAGGAUUAGAUACCCUGGUAGUCCACGCCGUAAACGAUGUCUACUUGGAGGUUGUGCCCUUGAGGCGUGGCUUCCGGAGCUAACGCGUUAAGUAGACCGCCUGGGGAGUACGGCCGCAAGGUUAAAACUCAAAUGAAUUGACGGGGGCCCGCACAAGCGGUGGAGCAUGUGGUUUAAUUCGAUGCAACGCGAAGAACCUUACCUGGUCUUGACAUCCACGGAAGAAUUCAGAGAUGGAUUUGUGCCUUCGGGAACUGUGAGACAGGUGCUGCAUGGCUGUCGUCAGCUCGUGUUGUGAAAUGUUGGGUUAAGUCCCGCAACGAGCGCAACCCUUAUCCUUUGUUGCCAGCGGUCCGGCCGGGAACUCAAAGGAGACUGCCAGUGAUAAACUGGAGGAAGGUGGGGAUGACGUCAAGUCAUCAUGGCCCUUACGACCAGGGCUACACACGUGCUACAAUGGCGCAUACAAAGAGAAGCGACCUCGCGAGAGCAAGCGGACCUCAUAAAGUGCGUCGUAGUCCGGAUUGGAGUCUGCAACUCGACUCCAUGAAGUCGGAAUCGCUAGUAAUCGUGGAUCAGAAUGCCACGGUGAAUACGUUCCCGGGCCUUGUACACACCGCCCGUCACACCAUGGGAGUGGGUUGCAAAAGAAGUAGGUAGCUUAACCUUCGGGAGGGCGCUUACCACUUUGUGAUUCAUGACUGGGGUGAAGUCGUAACAAGGUAACCGUAGGGGAACCUGC